rnacentral:piRNA from 1 species
UGGGGAAAGGGAACAAAACCUGC